AGAGCGAACGCUGGCGGCAGGCCUAACACAUGCAAGUCGAGCGCCCCGCAAGGGGAGCGGCAGACGGGAGAGUAACACGUGGGAACGUGCCCUUUGGUUCGGAACAACACAGGGAAACUUGUGCUAAUACCGGAUAAGCCCUUACGGGGAAAGAUUUAUUGCCAAAGGAGCGGCCCGCGUCUGAUUAGCUUGUUGGUGAGGUAACGGCUCACCAAGGCUACGAUCAGUAGCUGGUCUGAGAGGAUGAUCAGCCUCACUGGGACUGAGACACGGCCCAGACUCCUACGGGAGGCAGCAGUGGGGAAUAUUGGACAAUGGGCGCAAGCCUGAUCCAGCCAUGCCGCGUGGAUGAUGAAGGCCUUAGGGUUGUAAAGUCCUUUCGGCGGGGAAGAUAAUGACGGUACCCGCAGAAGAAGCCCCGGCUAACUUCGCGCCAGCAGCCGC
rnacentral:rRNA from 1 species